CCUACGGGAGGCAGCAGUGGGGAAUAUUGCACAAUGGGGGGAACCCUGAUGCAGCGACGCCGCGUGGGUGAAGGAGUAUUUCGGUAUGUAAAGCCCUAUCAGCAGGGAAGAACAAUGACGGUACCUGACUAAGAAGCACCGGCUAAAUACGUGCCAGCAGCCGCGGUAAUACGUAUGGUGCAAGCGUGAUCCGGAUUUACUGGGUGUAAAGGGAGCGCAGGCGGGGCGUUAAGCCUGGUGUGAAAGUCCGCGGCCCAACCGCGGGACUGCAUUGGAAACUGGCGCGCUGGAGUGCCGGAGGGGUAGGCGGAAUUCCUAGUGUAGCGGUGAAAUGCGUAGAUAUUAGGAGGAACACCAGUGGCGAAGGCGGCCUACUGGACGGUGACUGACGCUGAGGCUCGAAAGCGUGGGGAGCAAACAGGAUUAGAUACCCGGGUAGUC
rnacentral:rRNA from 1 species